GACGAACGCUGGCGGCGUGCUUAACACAUGCAAGUCGAACGGAAAGGCCCUGCUUGCAGGGUACUCGAGUGGCGAACGGGUGAGUAACACGUGGGUGAUCUGCCCUGCACUUCGGGAUAAGCCUGGGAAACUGGGUCUAAUACCGGAUAGGAGCCAUUUUUAGUGUGAUGGUUGGAAAGUUUUUUCGGUGUAGGAUGAGCUCGCGGCCUAUCAGCUUGUUGGUGGGGUAAUGGCCUACCAAGGCGGCGACGGGUAGCCGGCCUGAGAGGGUGGACGGCCACAUUAGGACUGAGAUACGGCCCAGACUCCUACGGGAGGCAGCAGUGGGGAAUAUUGCAUAAUGGGCGCAAGCCUGAUGCAGCGACGCCGCGUGGGGGAUGACGGCCUUCGGGUUGUAAACUCCUUUCGCUAGGGACGAAGCUUUUUGUGACGGUACCUAGAUAAGAAGCACCGGCUAACUACGUG
rnacentral:rRNA from 1 species